rnacentral:rRNA from 1 species
GACGAACGCUGGCGGCGUGCUUAACACAUGCAAGUCGAACGGAAAGGCCCUGCUUUUGUGGGGUGCUCGAGUGGCGAACGGGUGAGUAACACGUGAGUAACCUGCCCUUGACUUUGGGAUAACUUCAGGAAACUGGGGCUAAUACCGGAUAGGAGCUCCUGCUGCAUGGUGGGGGUUGGAAAGUUUCGGCGGUUGGGGAUGGACUCGCGGCUUAUCAGCUUGUUGGUGGGGUAGUGGCUUAUCAAGGCUUUGACGGGUAGCCGGCCUGAGAGGGUGACCGGCCACAUUGGGACUGAGAUACGGCCCAGACUCCUACGGGAGGCAGCAGUGGGGAAUAUUGCACAAUGGGCGGAAGCCUGAUGCAGCAACGCCGCGUGCGGGAUGACGGCCUUCGGGUUGUAAACCGCUUUCGCCUGUGACGAAGCGUGAGUGACGGUAAUGGGUAAAGAAGUACCGGCUAACUACGUG